rnacentral:rRNA from 1 species
UACCAGCACCCCGAGUGGUCGGGACGAUUAUUGGGCCUAAAGCAUCCGUAGCCGGCCUUACAAGUCCUCCGUUAAAUCCAGCUGCUUAACAGAUGGGCUGCGGAGGAUACUAUAAGACUAGGAGGCAGGAGAGGCAAGCGGUACUCAGUGGGUAGGGGUAAAAUCCGUUGAUCCAUUGAAGACCACCAGUGGCGAAGGCGGCUUGCCAGAAUGCGCUCGACGGUGAGGGAUGAAAGCUGGGGGAGCAAACCGGG